AUUGAACGCUGGCGGCAGGCCUAACACAUGCAAGUCGAGCGAGCGGCGGACGGGUGAGUAAUGUCUGGGUAACUGCCUGAUGGAGGUGGAUAACUACUUGAAACGGUAGCUAAUAACGCAUACCGUGAGGUGUGACCAGAUGGGAUUCGCUCGUAGGGGGGGUAACGGCUUACCUAGGCGACGAUCCCUAGCUGGUCUGAGAGGAUGACCAGCCACACUGGAACUGAGACACGGUCCAGACUCCGACGGGAGGCAGCAGUGGGGAAUAUUGCACAAUGGGCGCAAGCCUGAUGCAGCCAUGCCGCGUGUGUGAAGAAGGCCUUCGGGUUGUAAAGCACUUUCAGCGGGGAGGCGUUACCCGCAGAAGAAGCACCGGCUAACUCCGUGCCAGCAGCCGCGGUAAUAC
rnacentral:rRNA from 1 species